GGUUGCGAUCAUACCCAGCACUAAUGCACCGGAUCCCAUCAGAACUCCGCAGUUAAGCGUGCUUGGGCGAGAGUAGUACUAGGAUGGGUGACCCCAUGGGAAGUCCUCGUGUUUGCAACCC
rnacentral:rRNA from 1 species